rnacentral:rRNA from 1 species
GUCGAGCGAAUCGAUGGGAGCUUGCUCCCUGAGAUUAGCGGCGGACGGGUGAGUAACACGUGGGCAACCUGCCUAUAAGACUGGGAUAACUUCGGGAAACCGGAGCUAAUACCGGAUACGUUCUUUUCUCGCAUGAGAGAAGAUGGAAAGACGGUUUACGCUGUCACUUAUAGAUGGGCCCGCGGCGCAUUAGCUAGUUGGUGAGGUAAUGGCUCACCAAGGCGACGAUGCGUAGCCGACCUGAGAGGGUGAUCGGCCACACUGGGACUGAGACACGGCCCAGACUCCUACGGGAGGCAGCAGUAGGGAAUCUUCCGCAAUGGACGAAAGUCUGACGGAGCAACGCCGCGUGAACGAAGAAGGCCUUCGGGUCGUAAAGUUCUGUUGUUAGGGAAGAACAAGUACCAGAGUAACUGCUGGUACCUUGACGGUACCUAACCAGAAAGCCACGGCUAACUACGUGCCAGCAGCCGCGGUAAUACGUAGGUGGCAAGCGUUGUCCGGAAUUAUUGGGCGUAAAGCGCGCGCAGGUGGUUCCUUAAGUCUGAUGUGAAAGCCCACGGCUCAACCGUGGAGGGUCAUUGGAAACUGGGGAACUUGAGUGCAGAAGAGGAAAGUGGAAUUCCAAGUGUAGCGGUGAAAUGCGUAGAGAUUUGGAGGAACACCAGUGGCGAAGGCGACUUUCUGGUCUGUAACUGACACUGAGGCGCG